rnacentral:rRNA from 1 species
GAUGAACGCUGGCGGCGUGCCUAAUACAUGCAAGUCGAGCGAACGGACGAGAAGCUUGCUUCUCUGAUGUUAGCGGCGGACGGGUGGGUAACACGUGGAUAACCUACCUAUAAGACUGGGAUAACUUCGGGAAACCGGAGCUAAUACCGGAUAAUAUUUUGAACCGCAUGGUUCAAAAGUGAAAGACGGUCUUGCUGUCACUUAUAGAUGGAUCCGCGCUGCAUUAGCUAGUUGGUAAGGUAACGGCUUACCAAGGCAACGAUGCAUAGCCGACCUGAGAGGGUGAUCGGCCAAACUGGAACUGAGACACGGUCCAGACUCCUACGGGAGGCAGCAGUAGGGAAUCUUCCGCAAUGGGCGAAAGCCUGACGGAGCAACGCCGCGUGAGUGAUGAAGGUCUUCGGAUCGUAAAACUCUGUUAUUAGGGAAGAACAUAUGUGUAAGUAACUGUGCACAUCUUGACGGUACCUAAUCAGAAAGCCACGGCUAACUACG